AUGAUUCCUAAGGUCAACUCACCGGAGUUGUUGUCCCAGUUUCGUCCGAUUAGUUUGUGUAACAUGCUAUAUAAGAUUGCAACAAAGGUUCUUGCCAACAGGUUAAAAAGCAUCCUUCCAGUUCUUAUCUCAGAGGAGCAGAGUGCUUUUGUGCCGGGGCGCCUUAUCACAGAUAAUGUUUUAGUAGCCUAUGAGUGUGUUCAUGCCAUUCGCAACAAGAAGAGGAAGAAACCUCUAUGUGCAAUCAAGUUGGACAUGAUGUGUGACGCCCGGAUAAUUAAGCUACAGCAACCCUCUGCUAAUGAUGACACGUCACUUCGAUUACUGUUGCUAAUCUCGCGUUGA
rnacentral:rRNA from 1 species